UGCAUGCAGACAUACCUUUUUAAUUUGGUACUUGCCUUUGAUGGUAAAAUGCCUUGUCUAUAAGGGGYUGCAAAAUUUGGAAGUCAGGUCUGGUGAAAUGUUAGUGCUAGGUGAUUUCUUAACUUCCUGAGAUCUCCUCUUUUUCUCUAGGGAGUUUUGUAUUCCUAACUAUGCCAAUGUUACAAUCCUUAACUUCCUUUAGUGGUGUAUGUGAGAGAUAUUUUUCCCCGUUUUUAAAGAACUGUUAACAUCAACAACAACAACAACAACAAAAAGAGUGAUAUGAGUAUGUAAUUCUUUCUCAGGAGUAUGCACUGUUUUAUUUUCUUCUGUUUCCUAAAGCUUUGCCCGCUUGGCUUAUGAGCUUCUUCAAAGAGGACUAGAGAUCCCUACACAAUAUAUCAGUGAAAGGAUCCCCAAACGCCUGACAAGCGUCUGAGCAUUUCGAGAAAGACUAAGCCUUGCGUGCCAGCGAUAAGGAAAGGGAAAACCAAACACAUGCAAAGCUAWGAAAACAUAAAUGAGAAACUGGAAAGAUGAAUAAAUAAACAAACAAAUAAAUAAAUAAACAACAAUUCUCCUUCCUAAGCCCCAAAUGAUCCCUUUCACCUCCUCGUCUUGGGAAAAAAAAAAAAAAAUCUGACCAUGCAGUGAGAAAUAUCAGUUUAUCGACUCUUCCUGAGAAGAAAUGCGGAGAGGCAUUCAGUAUUGAGUUUGUAUAUAUUUAUUUAUGCUUAAUUUAACGGGAAUGUGUAAAUAUGGCGAGCAAGUAGUUUUUGGGUUAUUUAUCUGUGAAUCUAUACCUCUGUGAAUGGGUGGGGGAAUUUAAAAACAAAAAGAGAAAAAAAAAAUAAGAAAAAAAAAAACAAAAUAGUAAAAAAACAAAACCAACAAAAAACCGCUUGACUAGAUAGUAUUCUAUCUGAAUCUUUU